rnacentral:rRNA from 1 species
AGUGAACGCUGGCGGUAGGCCUAACACAUGCAAGUCGAACGGCAGCACAGUAAGAGCUUGCUCUUACGGGUGGCGAGUGGCGGACGGGUGAGGAUAACACCGGAACCUAUUUUUUCGUGGGGGAUACCGUAGGGAAACUUACGCUAAUACCGCAUACGACCUACGGCGGAAACCAGGGGAUCUCCGGCCCUGGCCGGAUUGAUUGACCCGAUGUCGGAUCAGCUAGUCGGCGGGGAAAAGGCCCACCAAGGCGACGAUCCGUAGCUGGUCUGAGAGGAGGAUCGGCCACACUGGGACUGAGACACGGUCCAGACUCCUGCGGGAGGCAGCAGUGGGGAAUGUUGGACGAUGGGCGCAAGCCUGAUCCAGCCAUACCGCGUGGGUGAAGAAGGCCUUCGGGUUGUAAAGCCCUUUUGUUGGGAAAGAAAAGCAGCAGGUUAAUACCCCGCUGUUCUGACGGUACCCAAAGAAUAAGCACCGGCUAACUUCGUG